UCCUGGCGGGGGGGAAUGGAGAGAAUGGAGAGAAGACUCUGGUUAGUCAGGGUUUCUUAUGGCUUAUCGCAGUGGUUUUUUCUGUUAGAGCGGACUUUCAAGUGAUUCUUAAUUGAAUAAAUGGCGAAUAUCGAAUGAUGUUGCAUCCCCUGUCACGCAAGGAACAA